GCUGGCACCUGCCUAAACUGAGUAAUCGGGGAAGAAGGGCUUUAGUCAGGGCGGUGACCAAGAACCUGAUGGUCACUCUCAGAGCUCCAGCAUUCUUC